rnacentral:rRNA from 2 species
GUAGGACUACCCGCUGAACUUAAGCAUAUCAAUAA